rnacentral:rRNA from 1 species
UACGUAGGUGGCAAGCGUUGUCCGGAUUUACUGGGUGUAAAGGGUGCGCAGGCGGACCAUUAAGUAGAAAGUGAAAGGUUGGAGCUCAACUCCGACACUGCUUCCUAUACUGGUGGUCUUGAGUUUCGGAGGGGGAAGCGGAACGACACGUGUAGCGGUGAAAUGCGUUGAUAUGUGUCGGAACACCAAUGGCGAAAGCAGCUUCCUGGACGAAUACUGACGCUCAGGCACGAAAGCCAAGGUAGCAAACAGG